CUACAGAACUUUAGAUAAGGUCUAAGUCCUGGGAGGGAAGAGGAGCUGGAUCUUUUCUAUUGUGGUCUGCAGGGGAUGACGAAAGGGGCUUCCGUCUCACGUGGGUCCUUGGAUUGUUCUGGCUGGCAUCCACUAUUAUCUGGGGGCAUAUCGCCUGGCCUGACUACUGUAUUCUGCUGGCCUUGGAUGCUGAAUUCUGAGGCAAGUGACCUCAUGGUCCUAUCUGUUGGCCCAGGCAUGAUCCCGGGGAGCAGUGACCAUCCUGUCCUUGCUGACUUGACUUCUCCUCAUAUCUUAUUGGCUUCAAUCACCUCAUCUGGCCUCUGACUCAACGGUCCAUCAUAGCCUCCAUGGUGUUAGCUCACUCUGCUGGGGCAGGCCAUGGGUAGGGUGUCUACUUUCAACUCAGCAUCCAGACCACAAAGAAACUGAUGCAUGCAGGGAAACUAAGCUUCCUGGUUGGCAGUAGCUGACUAUCAUGGCCAGGGAAGACUAAGGCAGGGUUACGUACUCAGUGAGGCAAAAGGAGAAAGACCUCAAGCAGAGAAGCAGAGAAUUGGAGGCGUGUGAGGUAGGAAGGUAGAGUUUCUAGAUCUGUGGAACUGACAUCCAGGUUGUGGUGGUGGCAUUGGCACACGGCUUCCCUUCAAGUCUGCCAACCUUUCUUCUGCUUCACUGCAGCGACAGAAGCAGAAGUCAGAGUGCAGAGGGAUGAGAGAGGUGGAGACAGAAGUGGAUGUAGACAAAAUGCCCUCGGGGAUGAAGGAAGGAAGCAGUCCAAGAAGGCUACUUAGGUGCAAAUUCACACAAAAAAUGAAGGACAUCUCAGAUGGUGGAUGCAAGAGUAUAGGGAGUGGAACCAAAAGAUGUAAUAAACAAUGGACAAGGUAACCACUCCUUGGGAGCAGAACUGCAUUCUGAUCUGAGAGCUUUCCUUUUAGCCACAGGAGGGAAAUCUAACGAUAUUUACUCAGUUGGAUUACAGAAUUCCUAGAAAAGUGAAUGCUGUCUUGUUCUGUUUCUUCCCUUUUUGAACAAGAGUCUCUGUUACGGUUAUUUUGUCCUGGUUUCUUCAUUGCAUGUUAGGUGUGUGAAGAGCAGAUGUCUUCUCAUAAGUUUGGAGGUCUCCAGAUGAAGAGGCGGUACACCCAAGAUGCCACGCUCCAGGAUUCCAUCCAUAUUUGAACAAGAUAUAAAUUGCAAGAUAUGAAAUCUUGAGACUGAUACCAUAUUGGAUCAGACUUUGGAAACAGUCUUGGGGAAAUCAGUGUAUGUUGCUUUGCGAGGAAUAGAAAUAGCUGUGUCCAGAGGGCGGACCAUGGUAGAUUGGAACAAAAUGCCCACAAUAUUUAGCAGUUCCUCCUAUUAAGAGGUGGAAUCUGUUUCUCCACCCUUAAAAGUAGACUUACCUAUGUGAUUUGCUUUGGCCGAUGGGCACUAGAAAACAUGAUACAAGCAGAGACAAAAAAUUCUUGUGCAUUGGGAUUUGCUCUUUCUUGGUCUAGAAAUCUUCCAUGUGAGAAAGCCUGGACGAACUUCCUAUAGGAUAAAAUUUGAGGCGAAGAAAGUCCCCAUCAAGCUCUGAUAACCCAGAGAAUCAUGAGCUAAAUGAAAUGGUUGUUGUCUUAAACGAUUAAGUUUUGAGGUGAUUUGUUGCAACAAAUCUCACUGAUAUGGGUUGGAUUUGCACAGACAGCAGGUAGAAAGAAGGGAGGUCCAUUUUUAUCUUCCAAUAAUAGAGCAUGAAGGGAGUAGCACAUAUUAAGACAAUACAGGAAAUCUAUGCGCUCCAGCAGCUUCUCUCUCCACCUUCUGGAUUUAACUAACACACAUUACAAACAGCCACACAAGUCCAGAAGGUACAGAGGUUUCUAAGAGCAAUAAUCAGGGCUUCCAGUGAGGAUUAUGCUGUGAGACGAUCGUUUAGAAAAAAGCUAAGAUACCAAACCGACUGAUGAUCACCCCCAUGAAAUAGUCAAGAGACAAAGUUAGACAGUGUGCUGAAUGAAGCAAUAAGGAGCAAUUUCAUUCAUUCAUUCAACAUUUACUUAGGUGUUUACUGCAUGCCGUAUCUGGGCAAAGGAAAACACUAUGUGAUUCCCUUAGGGUGUUGUCAUUGCAACUUCAAAGUUUGCUUUCUAAGGCAUUUGCGUACUUGGAAGCUUUAACUAAAAGGCUCAAUAAUUAGGAAAGAAUUCAAUUAAAUUGACUUGUCUUAAUAAAAAUUUCACAUGAAUAAUUUUUUAGGUGACCCUCAAACACUGUGAACUCUUUGGAAGACAGACAUCAGG
ensembl:lncRNA